GUGAGAGGCGUCUGUCAAUCUGUUAAUGGCCGCAGCAAUGCAUUUUGCAGAGGUGAAAAGAAAGUUAAGAAAGUUCAGUGACCUUGUUUUUGCCAAACAGUUCUUCAGCCCGGACUAAUUGGUGACAUCAGCUGGAAGACCACUUCUGACCAGACUUCUCCACACAGUAGAUGGGUGUACCUGGGUCCUACUGGUUUCUGCCAAUUCUGAGCUCAUGGCACUGCUGGACAUCUUCUGCUUGCGAAGGAAAAUCUUGGACAGCACAUCUGGAGACCCCAUGUCUGCCUGGGAGAGACCUUGCUGAUGCAGUAUAACCACCUUGUGUCUUGUUGCUGUGCUCAGUCUUGCCAUGGUGUAUGACUUCUAACAUUAAACUCUCUUCAGCAACCUCACCUUAGAAACAGAGUUUGGCUGUUCCUCACCCAGUUUUAACCCUCCUACACAGCUGUUUCUGUUUCAGUUAAUGAUUGUGUUUCAACCUACAUAUUAAAUUGAUGAUCAUUAGCUCCUGUUUGGUAUAAUUGGUUAAUCAUCCACCUGACUGUCCAUCCAUCCAUCCAUUAUCUUAACCCGCUUAUCCUGAACAGGGUCGCAGGGGGGCUGGAGCCUAUCCCAGCAUACAUUGGGCGAAAGGCAGGAAUACACCCUGGACAGGUCGCCAGUCCAUCGCCCACCUGAC